GGCCUGCGCUGAAGAUUUCUUCCUGGGACUGCGUUGUCCGCAAAAGGGCGCAUCUACGGUCUCGCUUCGACUCGGGCGCAAAACCCGACUCGGCCCCACCCGUGAACGCGUCGGUGAGGCACCCUAGCUUGCAAGAGCGUCUCUCGUUGGGGUCUGUUGGGGCUAAAACGUGCGCCGAGUGGGCGCGGGACUCCCGAGCCGAACAAGAAAGACACGGGCGGCCUCAACGGAGCGCGCCGGAAGAAGGCCAGGCACGCAGGGCAUGCCAAAAGAGAAAAAGGGGACGCCAGGCCCCGCCAGCGGGGACCGAGUGCUGCCGGCCCCGUGGCAGAUCUCCGAGUGGACCGGCGGAGAGGGAACGGGCGAGGUCCCCCGUCGUCCCAUGGCGGGUGUCAGGCCCCUGCGGGCGCCGUCCGGCCGGUGACUAGGGCUUCCGGGAGUCGGGUUGUUUUGUAGCGCAGCCCAAAGGCGGGUGGUAAACUCCAUCUUGUGCUCUACCGGCAGGAGACCGAUAGAGCACAAGUACCGUGAGGGAAAGUUGAAAAGCACAAAGGCCGGGGAGAUUCAGCGCGGCCGACGCGGUGUCCGAAGCACCCCCCUAGCCGGGGUCCGGGGGCGCCUCUGCGCCCGGCAGCGUGCACUUCUCCCGGGCAAGGCGCCCGCGACAGGCUGGGCAUCCGGGCCCGCAUAGGCCGGCCUGUUGGGGUUCCUCCGGCCACCCCGGUUCCCCCGACCGGGGGGGGGGUCGGAGAGGCUAGAGACCGGCCGUGGUUGCGCCGGCCGCCCGGCCGAGGAAGGGACGACGGGCCGCGCCCGCCCGCGCGCCGCCUCCCCGCAGCGGCAGCCGGGCCGGGCCUCCCAGCCCGCCGGAGGGCCCCGCCCGCCUCGACCGUCCCAGGUGGCGCCGGGCCGGCGGUCCCCGUCCGGGCCGGUGUCGGCCGCGCUGAGGUGCCCUGGGUCCGCGGGCGAAUGUCGCGNAAGGCUAAAUACGGGCAGGAGACCGAUAGAGCACAAGUACCGUGAGGGAAAGUUGAAAAGCACAAAGGCCGGGGAGAUUCAGCGCGGCCAGCGCGGUGUCCGAAGCACCCUCCUAGCCGGGGUCUCAGGGCGCCUCCGCGCCCAGCAGCAUGCACUUCUCCCGGGCAAGGCGCCCGCGACAGGCUGGGCAUCCGGGCCCGCAUAGGCCGGCCUGUUGGGGCUCCUCCGGCCACCCCGGCUCCCCCGACCGGGGGGGGGGCGGUCGGAGAGCCUAGAGACCGGCCGUGGUUGCGCCGGCCGCCCGGUUGAGGAAGGGACGACGGGCUGCGCCCGCCUGCGCGCCGCCUCCCCGCAGCGGCCGCCGGGCCUCCCGGCCCGCCGGAGGGCCCCGCCCGCCUCGACCGUCCCAGGUGGCGCCGGGCCGGCGGUCCCCGUCCGGGCCGGUGUCGGCCGCGCUGAGGUGCCCUGGGUCCGCGGGCGAAUGUCGCGAGCCCUGCCGACCCGUCUUGAAACACGGAUCAAGGAGUCUAUCGGGCUUGCGAGUCUGGGGGCCGCCAGGUGAAGCCCCGCAUUGCGGCCGACGCUCAUCGGAGCCCAGAAAAGGCGUUGGUUGAUACAGACAGCAGGACGGUGGCCAUUGAAGUCGGAAUCCGCCAAGGAGUGUGUAACAACUCACCUGCCGAAUCAACUAGCCCUGAAACUGGAUGGCGCUGAGCGUGCCGCCCACACCCGGCCGUCGGGGCAGAGAGUGAGUGGGAUUACCGCCCUGGUGGUACGCCCUGGCGAGUAGGACGGCCGCCGCGGUGCGCGUCGAAGCGCCGGCCGCGAGGCCGCGUGGAGCCGCUGUGGGCGCAAAUCUUGGUGGUAUUCGCAAAUAUUCGAGUGAGAUCCUCGAGGGCCGAGUGGCGGAGAAGGGUUCCAUGUGAACAGCAGUUGUACAUGGGUCAGUCGAUCCUAAGCCUUAGGGAAAAUCCGCUCAGAGCGAGGCUGGGGCCUUGCCCCCCGGGCGAAAGGGAAUUGGGUCAAUAUUUCUGAACCCGCAGGGUUCAGAAAUAUUGUCCGUCCUCCGUGGCGGUCCGAGCUGCGAAGUAAGCAAGCCCGCAGACGCCGGCUGGGGCCCCGGGAAGAGUUUUCUUUUCUUGGUAAGGGGCGGGAUCCCUGGAAUCGGCUUGUCCGGUGCUAGGGGCUGCCGCCCCGUAGAGCGUCGCGUUUCCGGCGGUGUACAGCGAGCUCUGGCCGGCCCUUGAAAAUGCGGGGGAGUGCGUGGACCGUCGCCUCGGGUCGUAUCCAAAACCGCAGCCGGUCUCCAAGGUGAACAGCCUCUGGUCGAUAGAACAAUGUAGGUAAAGGAAUUCGGCAAGCCGGAUCCAUAACUCAGAGAAGGAUUGGCUCUGAGGGCUGGGUCGGUCGGGUCGGGGCUGGAAGCGGGUCGCGGCGCCCCAUGCCCGCGCCGUGUCCGAGCAGCACUCUCCCCCCCCCCGCCGGACCGCGGGGCCGUACGCGCGGGUAAACUGUGGGAUUAACUAUGACUCUCUUAAGGUAGCCAAAUGCCUCGUCACCUAAUUAGUGACGCGCAUGAAUGGAUUAACGAGAUUCCCACUGUCCCAAUCUACUCUCUAGCAAAACUACAGCCAAGGGAACGGGCUUGGCAGAAUCAGCGGAGAAGGAAGACCCUGUUGAAUCUGACUCUAGUCUGACCUUGUGAAGAGACACGGGGGUGUAGGAUAGGUGGGAGGGCCAAGGCCCGACGGUGAAAUACCAUUACUCUUGUCGUUUCUUUACUUAGCCGGUGGGGUGGGGAGCAGGCCCCGCGUGGGCCCAGUCUUCUGGCGCUACGCGGCCGGCCGCCACCCGCUCUGGCGACAGCGUCAGGCGGGGAGUUUGACUGGGGAGGUACAUCUGUCAAAGGGUAACGCAGGUGUCCUAAGGCGAGCUCAGCGAGAACAGAAAACCCCUCGCGGAGCAAAAGGGCCAAAGCUUGUUUGAUUUUUAUUUUCAGUAUGAAUAUGGACCGUCAAAGUGUGGCCUAUUGAUCCUUUUGAGCUUCGGAGUUUGAAGCAAGAGGUGUCAGAAAAGUUGCCACAGGGAUAACUGGCUUGUGGCAGCCAAGUGUUCAUAGCGAGGAGGGCCGGC
rnacentral:rRNA from 1 species